rnacentral:rRNA from 1 species
ACAGCAGCCGCCGCGGGAAUACAGAGGGUGCGAGCGUUAAUCGGAUUUACUGGGCGUAAAGCGUGCGUAGGCGGCUUUUUAAGUCGGAUGUGAAAUCCCUGAGCUUAACUUAGGAAUUGCAUUCGAUACUGGGAAGCUAGAGUAUGGGAGAGGAUGGUAGAAUUCCAGGUGUAGCGGUGAAAUGCGUAGAGAUCUGGAGGAAUACCGAUGGCGAAGGCAGCCAUCUGGCCUAAUACUGACGCUGAGGUACGAAAGCAUGGGGAGCAAACAGGAUUAGAUACCCGCGUAGUCCCUGUCUCUUAUAA